rnacentral:tRNA from 1 species
GGGCUCAUAGCUCAGUUAGUAGAGCGUUACCUUCGCAAGGUAAAGGCCGCGGGUGCAAUUCCCGCUGAGUCCA